GACGAACCGUGCGAACGUUAUUCGGAAUCAUUGGGCUUAAAGGGCGCGUAGGCGGGCGACCGCGUCGAGUGCUGAAAGCCCGGGGCUCACCCCCGGAAGGGCAUUGGAAACUGGCGGACUCGAGUCUCGGAGAGGAAGGUGGAAUUCCCGGUGUAGCGGUGAAAUGUGUAGAGAUCGGGAGGAACACCGGUGGCGAAGGCGGGUCUCUGGGCAAUUCCUGACGCUGAGGCGCGAAAGCGUGGGGAGCAAACGGG
rnacentral:rRNA from 1 species